rnacentral:lncRNA from 1 species
CGUGACAAUUUUGAUUUUUCAGAGUGCUAAAGUGACAUAAGGACAUGUGUCUGAUACGAGGAAAGCACUAAGUUAUUGAAAGAUUGUUGGGAAAGGUGUACCAACUUGAAUUUCGAACUUAGCUAUAAAGGUGGCAUUUGGGGUUACCUUAAUAAGAUUUGCUUUGGGAUUUGUAGCCCUAGAGAUAAGCGUCGCAAUAAAUAAGUGAAAUAUUUUCCUUAUUGGCA